GCUCUCGUGGUGUAGUGGCUAUCAUACUUUCUUAGGGUCCAGAUCAUUGGUCUCUAAUCCUUAUCGGAUUUGAUCCUCCGGUUUAUCUAGCUAUGGAAGUGGUCCUGGGUUCAAAUCCCGGCGAGGGCC